ACGUGGAUAAUCUGCCCUAAGGUGGAGAAUAACCUCGGGAAACUGAGAAUAAUACUCCAUAGGUCUAGGAUGCUGGAAUGCACUUAGGCUUAAAACUUCGGUGCCUUAGGAUGAGUCUGCGGACUAUCAGGUUGUAGUCAGGGUAAAGACCUGACUAGCCUACGACGGAUACGGGUUGUGAGAGCAAUAACCCGGAGAUGAUAUCUGAGACACGAUAUCAGGCCCUACGGGGCGCAGCAGGCGCGAAAACUUCGCACUGCGCGAAAGCGCGACGAGGGAAUCCCAAGUGUAUGCACGUAAGUGUAUACUGUUUCUCUGUCUAAAAAGCAGAGAGAGUAAGAGCUGGGUAAGACGGGUGCCAGCCGCCGCGGUAAUACCUGCAGCUCGAGUGGUGAUCGUUAUUAUUGGGCCUAAAACGUCCGUAGCCGGUCUUCUAAAUGCCUAGGUAAAUCGUAUGGCUUAACCAUACGAAUUCUGGGUAGACUGUUAGACUUGAGACCGGGAGAAGCUAGAGGUACUCCUGGGGUAGAGGUGAAAUUCUGUAAUCCUAGGGGGAC
rnacentral:rRNA from 1 species